rnacentral:lncRNA from 1 species
AAUUCUUUUUUUCUUUUUAAAUUCACUACACAAACUCUGUGAUUAGGUAAGAAAAGCGACGAGGGCUCUCCUUGCCUUUUUUUAAACCAUUAAAGUAAAAUCCAUAAUUUUCUACAGAGUACAACACAAGUUCACACAAAAAAGACAUUUUCUUUUGCAAAUCAAAACAGGAAAGAAAGGAAAAGCUCAAACAAGAUAAAGGAAAAGCAUUUCUACGGCUGAAUCACGACUGAGUUGAUUGAAUCCCGUUGUUGCUGCAGAACAGACUGUGCGUUUGGUCAUAGUGGCAAUUUUUUUUUCUCUUCACAUUGUGAAAUCACUUUACAUUGUUUUCUAGUAGAAAAGGCAAAAAACUGUACAAAACCCCUAGUGUUAAAUACAACGUUUGUACCAAUAAAAAACUCACACAGGUUUGUCUCCAAAAUGUAAAGUUUCUUUUUUUUUUUUCUUUUUAAAUUAUUCACAAAAAGCAGCUGGAAAUCAGAAAGGCAGCUGCCGCUCCAGGGUCUCAAAUCCAUUAAAACCACCACAGAACAAUUAAAACAAUCAGAGAGAGAAAAGGAAAAGGAAACAACGUCCAACAUUUGGCAUUUGGUUUUAUCCACAGGUUUUCCCAGAGCUCCUCUUGGAAUUGAAAGCAAAAUAUAUUGGCAAACACGGCUUCUCAAUACACAGGAAGGGGAGCCUCAGUGCCUCCUGCCAACAGAGGCGGCUCUGUGCAGUCAGACUGUGGGGCGCACAGUAGUCUCUCAGGCUGGGGUUUCUGGCCUCUUUCCAUCCAAUCACCCCUUCCAGGAAAUUCAGCAGCCUACCAGACACUGGGCCUCUGCCUGGCUGCCCUUUCCCCCAAGCAGAAUGGCCUUGGGCAUAAUACCAGGCAACCUGCCAGCCCCAGAGCAGAAACCCUGCUGGGAUCCCUUCCUUCAUCAACCUUGGUGUGGAGGAUGCUCAACAGCGCUUCCACCUCCCCCUCCCCAGCCCCUAGCUACAUCUCUCCACCCUUCCCUGGACAGUCCUCCUUCCCAGCUCACCCACCCACCAGCAGCUUAGGUCUGGGUGGGAACUAUCAUCAGCUCCUCCCCCGUAACCUCUUCCCUCUACAGAUCCACCCUCUGACCUGACCUCUCCUCUCCUCGCCUCUCCCCCUUCACUCACAUUCUUACCGAAGUCUCCAAGACCCUGAGGCUGGAUGGUGCCACAAGAGAAGAGGGUCAGUUUCCCUCAGGGAACCAAAAAAACUGGCUUGCUUGGCACCCAGGGACAGUAGCUGUUUGGCUCUUCACCCAAUUUAAAAAACAAAUCCCUGCCCUUUCCCCCACCCCACUAGCUAAGCAAGAGCAGAGCUGUGGUGAAGAGUCAGUGCGGGGUGGCUGGUGCCCAGGGCUGUAAACAGUGUGAAGACUGUAGUAUUGUGCUUGUCACCUAGGAAAAGCGCCAGCAGGUGAAUUGCCACUUGGUGCGCAGAUGGCCUCCUACGGGUGGUUGGAAGCGCCCUCCUUCCUCCAGGUGCUCACUGCCCCUAAUGCGCUAAAUAAGCCUCUUACCCACCUGCUGCCACCUUCUAGGCUCUACCUCUGCUUCUCGUGUCUCUCCAGGCCCUCUUCCCACCCUCUCUGAGCAGAGCAGCCAGCCUCCUGGACGCCCCGGUAAGACCUGGAGGCCACACGAAGUGACAGUCUAA